AACUGGCUCUGAGAAGGAUGAUCAGGUCACACUGGAACUUGAGACACGGUCCAGACUCCUACGGGAGGCAGCAGUGGGGAAUAUUGGACAAUGGGCGAAAGCCUGAUCCAGCCAUGCCGCGUGUGUGAAGAAGGUCUUCGGAUUGUAAAGCACUUUAAGUUGGGAGGAAGGGCAGUUACCUAAUACGUGAUUGUUUUGACGUUACCGACAGAAUAAGCACCGGCUAACUCUGUGCCACCAGCCCCGGUAAUACAGAGGGUGCAAGCGUUCAUCGGAACUACUGGGCGUAAAGCGCGCGU
rnacentral:rRNA from 1 species